CUGGAUGAACGCUAGCUACAGGCUUAACACAUGCAAGUCGAGGGGCAGCAUUUCAGUUUGCUUGCAAACUGGAGAUGGCGACCGGCGCACGGGUGAGUAACACGUAUCCAACCUGCCGAUAACUCGGGGAUAGCCUUUCGAAAGAAAGAUUAAUACCCGAUGGCAUAAUUAGACCGCAUGGUCUUAUUAUUAAAGAAUUUCGGUUAUCGAUGGGGAUGCGUUCCAUUAGGCAGUUGGUGAGGUAACGGCUCACCAAACCUUCGAUGGAUAGGGGUUCUGAGAGGAAGGUUCCCCACAUUGGAACUGAGACACGGUCCAAACUCCUACGGGAGGCAGCAGUGAGGAAUAUUGGUCAAUGGGCGCAGGCCUGAACCAGCCAAGUAGCGUGAAGGAUGACUGCCCUAUGGGUUGUAAACUUCUUUUAUAUGGGAAUAAAGUUUUCCACGUGUGGAAUUUUGUAUGUACCAUAUGAAUAAGGAUCGGCUAACUCCGUGCCAGCAGCCGCGGUAAUACGGAGGAUCCGAGCGUUAUCCGGAUUUAUUGGGUUUAAAGGGAGCGUAGGUGGACAGUUAAGUCAGUUGUGAAAGUUUGCGGCUCAACCGUAAAAUUGCAGUUGAUACUGGCUGUCUUGAGUACAGUAGAGGUGGGCGGAAUUCGUGGUGUAGCGGUGAAAUGCUUAGAUAUCACGAAGAACUCCGAUUGCGAAGGCAGCUCACUGGACUGCAACUGACACUGAUGCUCGAAAGUGUGGGUAUCAAACAGGAUUAGAUACCCUGGUAGUCCACACAGUAAACGAUGAAUACUCGCUGUUUGCGAUAUACAGUAAGCGGCCAAGCGAAAGCAUUAAGUAUUCCACCUGGGGAGUACGCCGGCAACGGUGAAACUCAAAGGAAUUGACGGGGGCCCGCACAAGCGGAGGAACAUGUGGUUUAAUUCGAUGAUACGCGAGGAACCUUACCCGGGCUUAAAUUGCAUUUGAAUAUAUUGGAAACAGUAUAGCCGUAAGGCAAAUGUGAAGGUGCUGCAUGGUUGUCGUCAGCUCGUGCCGUGAGGUGUCGGCUUAAGUGCCAUAACGAGCGCAACCCUUAUCUUUAGUUACUAACAGGUCAUGCUGAGGACUCUAGAGAGACUGCCGUCGUAAGAUGUGAGGAAGGUGGGGAUGACGUCAAAUCAGCACGGCCCUUACGUCCGGGGCUACACACGUGUUACAAUGGGGGGUACAGAAGGCAGCUACCUGGUGACAGGAUGCUAAUCCCAAAAGCCUCUCUCAGUUCGGAUCGAAGUCUGCAACCCGACUUCGUGAAGCUGGAUUCGCUAGUAAUCGCGCAUCAGCCAUGGCGCGGUGAAUACGUUCCCGGGCCUUGUACACACCGCCAGUCAAGCCAUGAAAGCCGGGGGUACCUGAAGUACGUAACCGCAAGGAGCGUCCUAGGGUAAA
rnacentral:rRNA from 1 species